rnacentral:lncRNA from 1 species
GACAGACAAAUGCUCAGUUAAGGGUUGGAGCCCUAAUGCUGUCGGAAUGGAAAUAGUUCAGUUCAGGGUUGGAACCCUAAUGCUGACUAGCUGGGGAGAAGUUCAGUUAAGAGUUGAAACCCUAAUGCUCACUAAAAGGGAAAUGUUCAGUUUAGGGUUUAAAACCCUAAUGUUGAUUAAAGGGGAAAAGUCCAGUUUAGGGUUUAAAACCCUAAUGCUGACUAAAGGAAAGAGUUCAGUUUAGGGUUUAAAACCCUAAUGCUGACUAAAGGAAAAGAGUUCAGUUUAGGGUUUAAAACCCUAAUGCUGACUGAAGGAAAAGAGUUCAGUUUAGGGUUUAAAACCCUAAUGCUGACUAAAGGAAAAGAGUUCAAUUUAGGGUUUAAAACCCUAAUGCUGACUAAAGGAAAAGAGUUCAGUUUAGGGUUUAAAACCCUAACACUGACUGAAGGAAAGAGUUCAAUUUAGGGUUUAAAACCUUAAUGCUGACUAAAGGGAAAGAGUUCAGUUUAGGGUUUAAAACCCUAAUGCUGACUAAAGGGAAAGAGUUCAGUUUAGGGUUUAAAACCCUAAUGCUGACUGAAGGAAAAGAGUUCAGUUUAGGGUUUAAAACCCUAAUGAUGACC